rnacentral:rRNA from 1 species
UACGUAGGGUGCAAGCGUUAAUCGGAAUUACUGGGCGUAAAGCGUGCGCAGGCGGCUUUGCAAGUCAGAUGUGAAAUCCCCGGGCUUAACCUGGGAACUGCAUUUGUGACUGCAUGGCUGGAGUGCGGCAGAGGGGGAUGGAAUUCCGCGUGUAGCAGUGAAAUACGUAGAUAUGCGGAGGAACACCGAUGGCGAAGGCAAUCCCCUGGGCCUGCACUGACGCUCAUGCACGAAAGCGUGGGGAGCAAACAGG